AGAGUUUGAUUCUGGCUCAGGAUGAACGCUAGCUACAGGCUUAACACAUGCAAGUCGAGGGGUAGCAGGGUAGCAAUACCGCUGACGACCGGCGCACGGGUGAGUAACACGUAUCCAACCUUCCCAUAACUCAGGGAUAGCCUUUCGAAAGAAAGAUUAAUACCUGAUAGUACCUUUUUCAAGGCAUCUUAGAAAAAGUUAAAGAUUUAUUGGUUAUGGAUGGGGAUGCGUUCCAUUAGAUAGUUGGUGAGGUAACGGCUCACCAAGUCUUCGAUGGAUAGGGGUUCUGAGAGGAAGGUCCCCCACAUUGGUACUGAGACACGGACCAAACUCCUACGGGAGGCAGCAGUGAGGAAUAUUGGUCAAUGGGCGAGAGCCUGAACCAGCCAAGUAGCGUGGAAAAGGAUGAAGGUCCUAUGGAUUGUAAACUUCUUUUAUAGUAGAAUAAAGUGAGCCACGUGUGGUUUUUUGUAUGUAUACUAUGAAUAAGGAUCGGCUAACUCCGUGCCAGCCGCGGC
rnacentral:rRNA from 1 species